CAAUAUUGUGAUGACUGCUGCCCCUAUAAGAUCAUAGGGUGGUUGUGAGUGCUCUGAUAAAUGCCACCCAUUCCAGUGCGCGGUCCUGCGAAAAAGGCAGCUGCACCACUCGCUGCACAAGCCAAAUUUCUCCUUGAGGCAGCUAGAGAAUCUGCGAGCACUUGUCCAGGGCUUGCUAGUCAGCUUGGACGGGCAGCCUUAAACGUGAGUAGUAGUACUGUGCAAAGUGUACACUGGCUGCCAGACAUUGGCAGAUACUUAUCAAAAGUUUGCAAUCACAGUCUUUGUAUGAUUGCAGUGUGCACAGAAGCAGCCGAAUGCACUGCCAAAAGGAGCUGUGCAGACACUCUGCCCCAAGUGUGGCUGCCCUCAGGAGCCUGAUAGUGAAGGC
rnacentral:lncRNA from 1 species